rnacentral:rRNA from 1 species
AGUAAGACCCCUUGAAGACGACGAGGUUGAUAGGCCUGAGGUGGAAGUGCAGCAAUGCAUGGAGCUGACAGGUACUAAUCGGUCGAGGGCUUAUCCAA